rnacentral:rRNA from 1 species
UAGGGAAUAUUGGUCAAUGGGCGGAAGCCUGAACCAGCCAUGCCGCGUGCAGGAUGAAGGCUCUCGGGUCGUAAACUGCUUUUAUACGGGAAGAACGCAUCCAUGCGUGGGUGUCUGACGGUACCGUAGGAAUAAGCACCGGCUAACUCCGUGCCAGCAGCCGCGGUAAUACGGAGGGUGCGAGCGUUGUCCGGAAUUAUUGGGUUUAAAGGGUGCGUAGGUGGCCAGGUAAGUCAGUGGUGAAAUUCGUGGGCUCAACCCGCGGCCGGCCAUUGAUACUGCUUGGCUUGAGUAUCGUAGGGGUAGGCGGAAUUUGUGGUGUAGCGGUGAAAUGCAUAGAUACCACAAGGAACACCGGAGGCGAAGGCGGCCUACUGGACGAUUACUGACACUGAGGCACGAAAGCAUGGGUAGCGAACAGGAUUAGAUACCCUGGUAGUCCAUGCCGUAAACGAUGGUAACUAGGUGUGCGCGACAUACAGUGCGUGCCCAAGCGAAAGCGAUAAGUUACCCACCUGGGGAGUACGCCCGCAAGGGUG